UGGAAGUAAAAAGUCGUAACAAGGUCUCCGUUGGUGAACCAGCGGAGGGAUCAUUACUGAGUUUACGCUCUACAACCCUUUGUGAACAUACCUAUAACUGUUGCUUCGGCGGGUAGGGUCUCCGUGACCCUCCCGGCCUCCCGCCCCCGGGCGGGUCGGCGCCCGCCGGAGGAUAACCAAACUCUGAUUUAACGACGUUUCUUCUGAGUGGUACAAGCAAAUAAUCAAAACUUUUAACAACGGAUCUCUUGGUUCUGGCAUCGAUGAAGAACGCAGCGAAAUGCGAUAAGUAAUGUGAAUUGCAGAAUUCAGUGAAUCAUCGAAUCUUUGAACGCACAUUGCGCCCGCCAGCAUUCUGGCGGGCAUGCCUGUUCGAGCGUCAUUUCAACCCUCAAGCUCUGCUUGGUGUUGGGGCCCUACAGCUGAUGUAGGCCCUCAAAGGUAGUGGCGGACCCUCCCGGAGCCUCCUUUGCGUAGUAACUUUACGUCUCGCACUGGGAUCCGGAGGGACUCUUGCCGUAAAACCCCCAAUUUUCCAAAGGU
rnacentral:rRNA from 1 species